rnacentral:misc_RNA from 1 species
UUCUUUUUUUUUUUCUUACUUAUCUUCUUGGUUAAUGUUAAGCUUGCUGGACGUCUUCCUCCUUUAUACUGUCUUGAUGAUAUUUAAUUUCAUGAAGCAUGCAUUUUUUUUUUAUUGCCACAUAAAACGCUAUUUCAGCUUUGGAGAUCUUAUAGAGAGAGAGAGGGUUGGGUUUUGUGCCGCGAGGGGGGGGGUUUGGUGUGGGGGG